UACGUAGGGUGCGAGCGUUGUCCGGAAUUACUGGGCGUAAAGAGCUCGUAGGUGGUUUGUCGCGUUGUCCGUGAAAACUCACAACUCAAUUGUGGGCGUGCGGGCGAUACGGGCAGACUGGAGUACUGCAGGGGAGACUGGAAUUCCUGGUGUAGCGGUGGAAUGCGCAGAUAUCAGGAGGAACACCGGUGGCGAAGGCGGGUCUCUGGGCCGAAACUGACGCUGAGGAGCGAAAGCGUGGGGAGCAAACAGG
rnacentral:rRNA from 1 species